AUUGAACGCUGGCGGCAGGCCUAAUACAUGCAAGUCGAGCGCGAAAGUUCUUCGGAAUGAGUAAAGCGGCGGACGGGUGAGUAAUACAUGGGAAUCUGCCUGGUAGUGGGGGACAACGUUUCGAAAGGAACGCUAAUACCGCAUACGCCCUACGGGGGAAAGGGGGGGAUCUUCGGACCUCUCGCUAUCAGAUGAGCCCA
rnacentral:rRNA from 1 species